rnacentral:misc_RNA from 1 species
ACGAGUUUUUAAUUGUUGGAUUAGAGUUGAGCUGGUUAACUUUGUUAACAUCAGUGCUCGCUUUAGUUGACAAGUCCACUCAUCAUUUAACACUUGUGAACUUAUUCAUUAUAAACAUUAUCAUUUGUUAUUGGAACGAUUUGGGUUAUAAUAAAAGUUAAUA